rnacentral:pre_miRNA from 1 species
CAAAAGAAAAACAAACUCGUUUUCCGUAUCCAACAUUUGAUUAUCCGUCUUAUAUGAAAUUUUUUAUAAUUAGUAUUUUUAUUGUUGUUAGAUGAUAAACCAUGAUUAAUACUUUAUGCGUGACUCGUCUUUUUAAUUUUUUCAUAAUUUUUUCAAAUAAGACGGACGGUCAAACGUUGGACACGGAAACCCAGGGUU